UACAGAGGUCUCAAGCGUUGUUCGGAUUCAUUGGGCGUAAAGGGUGCGUAGGCGGCCCACUAAGUCAGACGUGAAAUCCCUCGGCUUAACCGGGGAACGGCGUCUGAUACUGGAGGGCUUGAGUUCGGGAGAGGGAUGCGGAAUUCCAGGUGUAGCGGUGAAAUGCGUAGAUAUCUGGAGGAACACCGGUGGCGAAGGCGGCAUCCUGGACCGAGACUGACGCUGAGGAGCGAAAGCCAGGGGAGCAAACGGG
rnacentral:rRNA from 1 species